GAAUUUUCCGCAAUGGGCGAAAGCCUGACGGAGCAACGCCGCGUGAGUGAAGACGGCCUUCGGGUUGUAAAACUCUGUUCUUGGGGAAGAAGAAAGUGACGGUACCCAAGGAGAAAGCCCCGGCUAACUACGUGCCAGCAGCCGCGGUAAUACGUAGGGGGCGAGCGUUAUCCGGAUUUAUUGGGCGUAAAGCGCGCGCAGGCGGUUAAGUAAGUCGGAUGUGAAAGGCUACGGCUCAACCGUAGAGCGGCAUCCGAAACUGCUUGACUUGAGUGCAGGAGAGGAGAGCGGAAUUCCCGGUGUAGCGGUGGAAUGCGUAGAGAUCGGGAGGAACACCAGUGGCGAAGGCGGCUCUCUGGACUGUAACUGACGCUGAGGCGCGAAAGCGUGGGGAGCAAACAG
rnacentral:rRNA from 1 species